rnacentral:rRNA from 1 species
CAGAACGAACGCUGGCGGCAUGGAUUAGGCAUGCAAGUCGAACGAAGUAGCAAGUACUUAGUGGCGCAAGGGUGAGGAACGCGUGAGUGACCUACCCGCAAGUUUGGAACAGCUCCUGGAAACGGGAAUUAAUACCGGAUGUGAUCAAUGGACUGCAUGGUUUAUUGAUUAAAGCAGUAAUGCGCUUGCGGAUGGGCUCGCGUCCCAUUAGCUAGUUGGUGAGGUAACGGCCCACCAAGGCCAUGAUGGGUAGCUGGUCUGAGAGGACGACCAGCCACACUGGGACUGAGAACUGCCCAGACUCCUACGGGAGGCUGCAGUCGAGAAUUUUGGGCAAUGGACGAAAGUCUGAACCCCAGCAAUGCCGCGUGCGGGAUGAAGGUCUUCGGAUUGUAAACCGCUGUUUGGAGGGACGAAAAUUGACGGUACUUCCAGAGAAAGCCACGGCUAACUACGUGCCAGCAGCCGC